rnacentral:rRNA from 1 species
UGAGGAAUCUGUCCAUCGGCGGGGGAUAGCCGGCCCAACGGCCGGGUAAUACCGCGUACGUCGGCGGGAGCGCAUGCUCCUGCCGGGAAAGCAGCAAUGCACCGAUGGAGGAUCUCGCGGCCUAUCAGCUUUGUUGGUGAGGUCACGGCUCACCAAGGCGACGACGGGUAGCUGGUCUGAGAGGAUGAUCAGCCACAGUUGGGACUGAGACACCGGCAGUA